UACGUAGGGUGCAAGCGUUAAUCGGAAUUACUGGGCGUAAAGCGUGCGCAGGCGGUGAUGUAAGACAGAUGUGAAAUCCCCGGGCUCAACCUGGGAACUGCAUUUGUGACUGCAUCGCUGGAGUGCGGCAGAGGGGGAUGGAAUUCCGCGUGUAGCAGUGAAAUGCGUAGAUAUGCGGAGGAACACCGAUGGCGAAGGCAAUCCCCUGGGCCUGCACUGACGCUCAUGCACGAAAGCGUGGGAGCAACAGG
rnacentral:rRNA from 1 species